rnacentral:rRNA from 1 species
UACAGAGGUCUCGAGCGUUAAUCGGAAUUACUGGGCUUAAAGGGUGCGUAGGCGGUCCCGUAAGUGCCUUGUGAAAUCCCAUGGCUCAACCAUGGAAUUGCUCGGUAGACUGCGGGACUUGAGGUCGGUAGAGGUCGCUGGAACUCUAGGUGGAGCGGUGAAAUGCGUAGAUAUCGAGAGGAACACCUGCGGCGAAGGCGGGUUGCUGGGCUGAUACUGACGCUGAGGCGCGAAAGCCAGGGGAGCGAACAGG